rnacentral:rRNA from 1 species
GACGAACGCUGGCGGCGUGCCUAAUACAUGCAAGUCGAACGGACAGGCCCUGCUCUUGUGGCGUGCUCGUGUGCCGCACGGGUGAGUGUCACGCGUGUAUCCUGCCCUUGUCUUUGGGAUAUCUCCAGGAAACUGGGGCUCAUAUCGGAUAGGAGCUCCUGCUGCAUGGUGGGGGAUGGAAAGAUUCGGCGGUUGGGGAUGGACUCGCGGCUUAUCCGCUUGUUGGGGGGGUAGUGGCUUACCAAGGUUUUGACGGGUAGCCGGCCUGAGAGCGGGACCGGGCACAUGGGGACUGAGAGACGGCGCAGACGCCAACGGGAGGCAGCAGGCGGGAAUAUUGCACAAUGAGGGGAAGCCAGAGGCAGCAACGCCGCGAGCGGGAAGACGGCCUACGGGGGGUAAACCGCUGUGGCCUGAGACGAAGCGGUAUUGACGGUAAUGGGUAAGAAAGCACCGGCUAACUACGUG